rnacentral:tRNA from 1 species
UCCCUGGUGGUCCAGUGGUUAAGACUCUGUGCUUCCGAUGCAGGGGAUGUGGGUUCAAUCCCUGGCCAGGGAA